GGAGAAAUUGCUGUCUAACAGAUCCUUUGUGGACUUCCGACCAAAACCAUCCAGAGCACCAUAUGCUCCAGGUGUGGUGCUCGAUGGAUUGUUGAAGACCAAGAUUUCCUUUGUCGACCAGGAAUAAAAUCCAUGUUUCCCUCCAAUACAGAGAACAGUCAGAAGGAAAGGUGUAGCACAGCUGACCAAAACCCAGAAUCAUCUGCACUAUGGGCAUCUCCCACUGCAUCAUUCAGGACCCCAGGUUUAAAGCUCUUCCCAUGGGGACCACAUAUCAUGAGGAGGCAAUGGAGGACUGUGGCAGCACAGGGCUGUGCAAGGUGAACACUCACCUGAGCAUGGAGCAAGAUUAUAAAGGACAGAGUGCAGCUGGUGCAGGAUUUUCUGGGCUCCCUGACUUUCUUACGUGUUUGACUUGGGUACAGCAGGAUUUUGAGUGCCCACCUGUUUUGCAGGGGGAGGUGGGCACCAGCUGGCUGAGAUGAUGGUACUGAUUCAGCU
rnacentral:lncRNA from 1 species